AUGAUAAGUUUUAUACGUGUGGCACGAACACAUGGCAAUUCCGAACGUUUUUAUGGCAAGUUUAGUCACAGGAGGAUGACAACUUUAGUUGUCAAGAAUGGCAACUUUCUUUUCAGAUGGCAUGUUUCAAUUUUUUUGAGGGGGGGGGGGGUUAUUUUUUCUUUUCGGAUGCCAACUUUAGUUGUAAAAACAUCAAGCCAGAGUGCUUCAUGCCACACGUGUGGCAUUUAUUAUUUGGUCUACCUUAUCAUGGACACUACACAAGUUAAGGAAAUGAAUGGGAUGAGUUCUUGCAGGGUGACCGCCCUCUGCACCUACAUAAACCUAACAUACACUUCUCGAUCAUGUGAGUCAUUACGUGAACCAUGGGCCGAAACAUGA
rnacentral:rRNA from 1 species